rnacentral:rRNA from 1 species
AUUGAACGCUGGCGGCAUGCUUUACACAUGCAAGUCGAACGGUAACAGGCCGCAAGGUGCUGACGAGUGGCGAACGGGUGAGUAAUGCAUCGGAACGUGCCCAGUCGUGGGGGAUAACGCAGCGAAAGCUGCGCUAAUACCGCAUACGAUCUCUGGAUGAAAGCGGGGGACCGAAAGGCCUCGCGCGAUUGGAGCGGCCGACGUCAGAUAGGUAGUUGGGGGGGUAAAGGCCCACCAAGCCAACGAUCUGUAGCUGGUCUGAGAGGACGACCAGCCACACUGGGACUGAGACACGGCCCAGACUCCUACGGGAGGCGGCAGUGGGGAAUUUUGGACAAUGGGCGCAAGCCUGAUCCAGCAAUGCCGCGUGCAGGAAGAAGGCCUUCGGGUUGUAAACUGCUUUUGUACGGAACGAAACGGUCCGGGUUAAUACCCAGGGCUAAUGACGGUACCGUAAGAAUAAGCACCGGCUAACUACGUGCCAGCCGCCGCCGUAACAC